rnacentral:rRNA from 1 species
UACGUAGGGCGCAAGCGUUGUCCGGAAUUAUUGGGCGUAAAGAGCUCGUAGGCGGCUUGUCACGUCGGGAGUGAAAACUCAGGGCUUAACCCUGAGCCUGCUUCCGAUACGGGCAGACUAGAGGUAUGCAGGGGAGAACGGAAUUCCUGGUGUAGCGGUGAAAUGCGCAGAUAUCAGGAGGAACACCGGUGGCGAAGGCGGUUCUCUGGGCAUUACCUGACGCUGAGGAGCGAAAGCGUGGGGAGCGAACAGG